rnacentral:rRNA from 1 species
AAAUUGAAGAGUUUGAUCAUGGCUCAGAUUGAACGCUGGCGGCAGGCCUAACACAUGCAAGUCGAACGGUAACAGGAAACAGCUUGCUGUUUCGCUGACGAGUGGCGGACGGGUGAGUAAUGUCUGGGAAACUGCCUGAUGGAGGGGGAUAACUACUGGAAACGGUAGCUAAUACCGCAUAACGUCGCAAGACCAAAGAGGGGGACCUUAGGGCCUCUUGCCAUCGGAUGUGCCCAGAUGGGAUUAGCUAGUAGGUGGGGUAACGGCUCACCUAGGCGACGAUCCCUAGCUGGUCUGAGAGGAUGACCAGCCACACUGGAACUGAGACACGGUCCAGACUCCUACGGGAGGCAGCAGUGGGGAAUAUUGCACAAUGGGCGCAAGCCUGAUGCAGCCAUGCCGCGUGUAUGAAGAAGGCCUUCGGGUUGUAAAGUACUUUCAGCGGGGAGGAAGGGAGUAAAGUUAAUACCUUUGCUCAUUGACGUUACCCGCAGAAGAAGCACCGGCUAACUCCGUGCCAGCAGCCGCGGUAAUACGGAGGGUGCAAGCGUUAAUCGGAAUUACUGGGCGUAAAGCGCACGCAGGCGGUUUGUUAAGUCAGAUGUGAAAUCCCCGGGCUCAACCUGGGAACUGCAUCUGAUACUGGCAAGCUUGAGUCUCGUAGAGGGGGGUAGAAUUCCAGGUGUAGCGGUGAAAUGCGUAGAGAUCUGGAGGAAUACCGGUGGCGAAGGCGGCCCCCUGGACGAAGACUGACGCUCAGGUGCGAAAGCGUGGGGAGCAAACAGGAUUAGAUACCCUGGUAGUCCACGCCGUAAACGAUGUCGACUUGGAGGUUGUGCCCUUGAGGCGUGGCUUCCGGAGCUAACGCGUUAAGUCGACCGCCUGGGGAGUACGGCCGCAAGGUUAAAACUCAAAUGAAUUGACGGGGGCCCGCACAAGCGGUGGAGCAUGUGGUUUAAUUCGAUGCAACGCGAAGAACCUUACCUGGUCUUGACAUCCACGGAAGUUUUCAGAGAUGAGAAUGUGCCUUCGGGAACCGUGAGACAGGUGCUGCAUGGCUGUCGUCAGCUCGUGUUGUGAAAUGUUGGGUUAAGUCCCGCAACGAGCGCAACCCUUAUCCUUUGUUGCCAGCGGUCCGGCCGGGAACUCAAAGGAGACUGCCAGUGAUAAACUGGAGGAAGGUGGGGAUGACGUCAAGUCAUCAUGGCCCUUACGACCAGGGCUACACACGUGCUACAAUGGCGCAUACAAAGAGAAGCGACCUCGCGAGAGCAAGCGGACCUCAUAAAGUGCGUCGUAGUCCGGAUUGGAGUCUGCAACUCGACUCCAUGAAGUCGGAAUCGCUAGUAAUCGUGGAUCAGAAUGCCACGGUGAAUACGUUCCCGGGCCUUGUACACACCGCCCGUCACACCAUGGGAGUGGGUUGCAAAAGAAGUAGGUAGCUUAACCUUCGGGAGGGCGCUUACCACUUUGUGAUUCAUGACUGGGGUGAAGUCGUAACAAGGUAACCGUAGGGGAACCUGCGGUUGGAUCACCUCCUUACCUUAAAGAAGC